rnacentral:rRNA from 1 species
GACGAACGCUGGCGGCGUGCUUAACACAUGCAAGUCGAGCGGAAAGGCCCUUUGGGGUACUCGAGCGGCGAACGGGUGAGUAACACGUGAGUAACCUGCCCUGGACUUUGGGAUAACCCUCGGAAACGGGGGCUAAUACUGGAUAUGACUUCUUGCCGCAUGGUGGGGGGUGGAAAGGUUUUCUGGUCUGGGAUGGGCUCGCGGCCUAUCAGCUUGUUGGUGGGGUGAUGGCCUACCAAGGCGACGACGGGUAGCCGGCCUGAGAGGGCGACCGGCCACACUGGGACUGAGACACGGCCCAGACUCCUACGGGAGGCAGCAGUGGGGAAUUUUGCACAAUGGGCGGAAGCCUGAUGCAGCGACGCCGCGUGGGGGAUGACGGCCUUCGGGUUGUAAACCUCUUUCGACCCUGACGAAGCGUGAGUGACGGUAGGGGGAGAAGAAGCACCGGCCAACUACGUGCCAGCCGCCGCGGUAAAAC